CAAGUCGAGCGAAUCGAUGGGAGCUUGCUCCCUGAGAUUAGCGGCGGACGGGUGAGUAACACGUGGGCAACCUGCCUAUAAGACUGGGAUAACUUCGGGAAACCGGAGCUAAUACCGGAUACGUUCUUUUCUCGCAUGAGAGAAGAUGGAAAGACGGUUUCGGCUGUCACUUAUAGAUGUUGGCCCGCGGCGCAUUAGCUAGUUGGUGAGGUAAUAAGGCUCACCAAGGCGACGAUGCGUAGCCGACCUGAGAGGGUGAUCGGCCACACUGGGACUGAGACACGGCCCAGACUCCUACGGGAGGCAGCAGUAGGGAAUCUUCCGCAAUGGACGAAAGUCUGACGGAGCAACGCCGCGUGAACGAAGAAGGCCUUCGGGUCGUAAAGUUCUGUUGUUAGGGAAGAACAAGUACCAGAGUUUCUGCUGGUACCGGAGCCUUUCCCAAA
rnacentral:rRNA from 1 species